ACCUACUUAACUCAGUGGUAGAGUAACGCCAUGGUAAGGCGUAAGUCAUCGGUUCAAAUCCAAGAAA
rnacentral:tRNA from 1 species